ensembl:lncRNA
AUUGAAGUAUAUAAAAAGAAAUUUUUAAAGUAUCUUUUUAAUUUUAAUUUAAAAAUUAUCAUUUUAACAGAACUGAACAGAAAAGCAAAUAUCUGAAAGAAAAUAUUGACAGUCUAGUAUGCAUGUAAUUGGUAUCCCAGGAGAGAAAAUGGAGACUGAGGUAGAAAUACACACACACACACACACACACACAGAGGGAGACAGAGACUAGCCAAUAAAGUUUAAACAAUUUUAAAUUUUAAAUUUUUUAAAAAGCAACUGGUUAAAAAUCCAAAAUCAUAGAACUAAAAGGCUUAGUGAACAGCAGGCAGAGUAAUUACAAAGAAAAGCUUGCCUGGAUAUACCAUAGUCAAACUAUUUAAAACCAAAGAUAAAGAGAAAAACCUUACAAACAACCUUAGGUAUGAAUGAGAAAUGACUAGUUGCAAAUAAUGAGGGAAGCCAGAAGACAAUGGAAUAACCUUAAAAUGCUAAAAGAAAGUCAAUACACACUUCUUUAUCUAAUAAAAAUAUUGGUCAAUUUGCAGGUGAAAUGAAAAUGUUUUCAGAGAGCAAAACACGAAAUUAUUCAUCACUAGCAGGAAAACGUGAACAACAAAAAUUAAGGAAGCUUCUUUAAGACGAAAAGAAGUAAGCCUUUUCAUGUUGACUGGGUUGGUUGCCACAGAGGACAUGGCAAGUCAGCAAGCAAAUUUCCAGUCUAAUUUCUGGUGGAAUCUGUCCCAGGGAACAAGAAAUUUUGAGAAGAACAUGAGUUGGACAUUGCUUAGGGCUAGAUGUGAGUAAACCAUCUAUCCUCAGAAAAUGGAAGACAGCCACUUAUUUGACAGCGAAGGCUCGGUCAACUGACAGGGCAGACAAUUGACAGAGCCGGAAAAGUGCAUCUGGUACAUUAUUAAGUAUCAGGAUGAUGAACAGAGCUCAUAAUUAAGCUUGUACUUAACAGCUCAUUGCCUUGAGUAAUAAUACCAAUGACUUUCAAAAAGCAUCCUCCUUUCUUUUCUCUCAUUGUUCUCACAAGUAAAUGUAACAAUGUCAGAGUUGUCAUCACCAGGAAAAUUUGUCAGCCCUUUUCUUAAUUAAAACCUCUCUAGCCUUCACAUUAGAAUUUUUAUCUUUAUCAUUUUAAAAAAAAAUUUUUAAUCACUCUUUGGAAAAAAACACCAUAUAAAUCCCCAAAUAACAUAUGUCAGCACAAUUACAUGUUGUCAGGCAACUACUUAAUUUAUAUAUGUCUAUAUACAAGGAAAAGGAAAAUUCUUAAAGUCACCUCAUAUGAAUACUGUAUUUUGAUGGAUAGAAACACUAAAAUAAAUUAUUCAACAGAAAUGACAUAAUAUGGUGUUCUGUAAAAUCUGUAUUACAUUAUCAGAAUAUCUUUGCAUAAAGACUGAGUUCUUUCUAUUGGAGAUAGAAGGGAAAGCAGGUAUUAGCAAAUAAUUGGAAAUAAUGUUUUCACAAAACUAAUAUGUUCUAGUUUUAUAAAAUAAAAGUAAGAUUUGAGUUAAGGUUAAGUAAGGAGAAAUUAGAAUUCAUAGUCAAGUGAAAUAAAAUGUGUAAGUUUUAUUAAACAAGAAACCAACACAUAAAAAAAUAGUAGCUGAGAGAGAGUGAUUUUUAUUGUGUUAAGAAUACUUAACAUGAGAUCUACCCUCUUAACAAAUUUUUAGGUGGGCAAUACAUUAUUGUUAACUAUAGACCCAAUAUUCUACAGCAGUUCUCUAGACCUUAAUCAUCUUACAGAACUGAACAAUUAUACCCAUUGAAUAGCAACUCCCCAUUUCCCCCUACCCACAGCCCCUGGCAACCAUCAUUGUCCUCUCUGCUUCCAUGUUUUAUUAUUUUAGAUACUUGAUUUAAGUGAUAUUAUGUAGUAUUUGUCCUUCUGUGACUUGCUUAUUCACUUAGCAUAAUUUCCUCAAGGUUCAUCCAUGUUGCCAUAUGUACCAGAAAUGUCUUCCUUUUUAGGGCUGAAUAUUCCAUUUUAUGUAUAUGCCACAUUUACUUUAUCCAUGCAUCUGUUAAUGUACAUUUAGGUGGUUUCCACGUCUUGGCUAUUGUGAAUAGUGGUACAAUGAAUGUGGAAAUGAAGUAUCUCUUUAAGAUCCCAAUUUGAAUUAUUGAUAGAGGGUGAUUUUAGUACAGCAAUUAGCCCCAGAUCAAAUGGACUAUUUAAAAAUUGUGGGUUCUGUGUAUUCUGCUGCCUAUAAAUUUUACAUGGGUUUUCUGGGAAGAGUUUUUGAUUGUUAUAUGACAUAGGAGACAAGGCAUUGGACAACAUACAGAUCAAGAUUUUGGACCUCAAAUUUCAGAUCAGGAUCGCAGAACUCAAAUUUCUGACAAAUACAGAAAGUAAGCAAAUUCACAGUUGCUAAUGUUGUCAUUUUUGCUAUUAUAAUCAUCAUUGUUGUUGUUGUUAUGUAGUUGAAACCCAAGUAUACCUGCUCCUUCUGUAGUCAAGUAAUUUAUAUGCUGUGGAACAAUGGCAAUUAAGUGAAUUGUGUGUUACAGAAGACUGAGUAGUAUCUCCUCCCCUGAUUAUCUCCAGUUCCAUUCUAAAUCAAAACCCCAUACAGGCUAAAAGGAAAGACUGGACAAAGUUCUGGUUUUCAUACUGGCUCCUAUCCUUAUGAGCCAUCUGACUUUUGGCAGGUCAGUUAUACAUUUUGGGCUUCAAUUACUUUAUAUGUGAAAAAAGGGGUCAUGAUAAUACCUACCUUGUAGGUAGAGAUAAAUAAAUGAGACAAUGUAUGUAAGGAGUUUAGUGUAGUCUGGCUUCUGGUAAAAAUUUAAUAAAUGAUACAUAUUCUGCUUAGACUACAUGGAAAGAGUUUCCUAUGACAAGAAAAGAAUAUUAUCUUUUACAAAUCAUUCAC